UACAGAGGGGGCAAGCGUUGUUCGGAAUUACUGGGCGUAAAGGGCGCGUAGGCGGCCUGCUAAGUCGAACGUGAAAUCCCCGGGCUCAACCCGGGAACUGCGUCCGAUACUGGUUGGCUUGAAUCCGGGAGAGGGAUGCGGAAUUCCAGGUGUAGCGGUGAAAUGCGUAGAUAUCUGGAGGAACACCGGUGGCGAAGGCGGCAUCCUGGACCGACACUGACGCUGAGGAGCGAAAGCCAGGGGAGCAAACGGG
rnacentral:rRNA from 1 species